CAGCAGCAGCAGCAGCAACAACAGCAGCAGCAGCAGCAGCAGCAGCAGUGUCAUCAACUGCAACAGAAACAGCUGUGGGAGCAGCACAGACGGGUGAGGAACAGACCAACUCCAGGGUGAGUCGAGUCACAGGUCACAGACCACGGCAGCCACGAAAUACAAGGUUUCUACUCAUGAACGACACAGACGUCACUGCUGCAGUGAAAACCCUCUGAUGUUCCGUGAUCAGACUGGUGUCUGUGUCUCCAACAACAAAAGCUCUGGAUGGUGUGUGCACGUGUGCUAUUGUAGCUCCUCAGAGGAGGCCAGGUUACCGGGGCAUGUGGGUAAUGAAACGAGCUGCGCAGUCUGCAGUGAGUUAGUUACAA